rnacentral:tRNA from 1 species
AGAAACUUAGGAUAAUAACUAAACCAGGAGCCUUCAAAGCCCCAAAUAAGAGUCAUAACCUCUUAGUUUCUG